rnacentral:misc_RNA from 1 species
CCAAUAGCGUAUAUUAAGGUUGUUGCAGUUAAAAAGCUCGUAGUUGAAUUUCGGGAUUGACACAUCGGUCGUGCCUUAAGGGGUAUGAACUGGUGUAGUCAAUUUCUCACCUUCUGGAGAACCGCGAUGUCCUUAAUUGGGUGCCGCGAGGAACCAGGACCUUUACUUGGAAAAAAUUAGAGUGUUUAAAGCAGGCAUUUUGCUUGAAUACAUUAGCAUGGAAUCAUAAAAUAGGACGGCAUGAUUCUAUCUUGUUGGUUUCUAGGAUCACCGUAAUGAUUAAUAGGGAUAGUUGGGGGCAUUAGGAUUCAAUUGUCAGAGGUGAAAUUCUUGGAUUUAUUGAAGACUAACUACUGCGAAAGUAUUUGCCAAGGAUGUUUUCAUUAAUCAAGAACGAAAGUUAGGGGAUCGAAGACGAUCAGAUACCGUCGUAGUCUUAACCAUAAACUAUGCCGACUAGGAAUCAGACGAUGUUAAUUUUUUAAUGACUCGUUUGGCACCUUACG